rnacentral:lncRNA from 1 species
GAGGAGUUGAAAAAAAUAUGAGUACAUCUUCGUGCAUAAGGAGAAACAAGUCGGCAAUGAAAGGUUAAACAACUCAAGUACUCAAAAGGCCAUAAGAUACGAGUACUCACCUCUCUAGGCUUGUUGAAGUGAUCGAACUCCCCAACAAUCCAGGGGAUGCCGUUGAUAUUAUCAAACAUCCGAUUCAGCCGCACCAUUAUUUCAUUAACCGAGAUAUCCUCAGGCAUCAUCCUCGACAGGUCACUAUGACCCGAGUACUCAUAACCCCAACUCUGAUGAAGCUGCAAGGGUUGCACUCGCCGCUUCAAGAAACUGGUGGCCACAACAACACCCGUCAAACCUUUCUGCCUCAAGACACAAAUUCUAGCC